AAACCAGCACCUCAAGUGGUCAGGAUGAUUAUUGGGCCUAAAGCAUCCGUAGCCUGGUGCAUAAGUUUUCGGUUAAAUCCAUAUGCUCAACAUAUGGGCUGCCGGGAAUACUGUGCACCUAGGGAGUGGGAGAGGUAGACGGUACUCGGUAGGAAGGGGUAAAAUCCUUUGAUCUAUUGAUGACCACCUGUGGCGAAGGCGGUCUACCAGAACACGUUCGACGGUGAGGGAUGAAAGCUGGGGGAGCAAACCGGAUUAGAAACCCUGGUAGUCC
rnacentral:rRNA from 1 species